rnacentral:rRNA from 1 species
UACGUAGGGGCCAAGCGUUGUCCGGAUUUAUUGGGCGUAAAGAGCUCGUAGGCGGUUCGGCAAGUCAGCUGUGAAAUCUCCACGCUCAACGUGGAGGGGUCAGCUGAUACUGCUGUGACUUGAGUCCGGUAGGGGAGUGUGGAAUUCCCGGUGUAGCGGUGAAAUGCGCAGAUAUCGGGAGGAACACCAGUAGCGAAGGCGACACACUGGAUCUUGUCUGACGCUGAGGCACGAAAGGCCAGGGGAGCGAACGGG